rnacentral:rRNA from 1 species
UUUAACGCAUUCUAACCUUUUGAAAAUCAUCAACUGAUACGUUAGCAAGCUAUCGACCAAUUGACAAUUAUUCAGAGACCAGACACGUAGCCAAAAGCAUUCGCUGCAAUCCUCGAUCUCAGUUACGUCAUCUAUCACGGGCUAUAACACUCCCGAAGGAGCUACCUUCCCACAAUCAUUAUAACGCAACUAAAAUCGAUGCUAACCUGCCUUGCGAAAAAGUGCACUCAUAGUAGCCUAUAAGUUGAUUUUCCGCCGGCACGACUG